GUUUGGGUUGGAUUUUUCUAAAAACUUCAGAAGUAUAGUUGACCUUAAUCUACUCAAAACUCAUUAUUGUCGAGCUGACCACGUAAGUACAACCUGGGGCCUAUGUUGGCGACCUGAUUCACAAGUACGACUUGAGAUUUAUGUGAAUGACCUGAUUUAAGAAUACAACCUUAAAUUUAUAUGAGCGACCAAGAAAUUCACCGGUCCGACCUCGAAAUUUAUUUGCCCAACCAGAGAAUUAGCUUGACAUAGAAAGCUAUUGGUUAAGAUAACGUGGCCUAAUUUCUAGGAAAGUUGUGUGCCACGAUCUAUGUAAACCAUCUCCAACUGAUGACCACGUGCAACUGCUGAAGAAAGUGGGCAGAAGUUAAAGGUGGUAACCACCCACGACCAGGGGCCUAUUUAAGCUGAAAAUGGCAACUGAGGAAGGGGUUAGCAAAA
rnacentral:lncRNA from 1 species